rnacentral:tRNA from 1 species
AGCCGUCUGGGGUACAUAAGAACUGCUAAUUCCUUAUUACCAUGGUUCGAUUCCAUGGUCGGCUC